CUCCCCGGAGCGUGCCUGCGGCGCGAGAACAAACGCGCCCGGCGAGCUCGCGCGUGGGGCGGUCGUUGGGGCCGUUGGCGGGCCGGCAGCGGGGCGUAGGGCCUGCGGGGGGCCGCUGCCGAUAGGGGUGGCUGCGGCGGGCAGUUGCUGAGAGAGGGAACGGGAGAGAAAAGCAACCGGUGGAGAGCUGAGGCUGUGAGCUGUCCCUCGGAAAGAGGAGGGGUGCCCGCGGGGCAGCUCCCCAGUGCCGGCCCUCCCUACCCCACUGCUGUCCUCGCAGAGCCUCGCUGGGCUCCGCGUUGAGAAAAUGCGCGGAAUAGGGAACGCUGCACUCGGUCUACAGAAGACUUAAGGGGAGCGAAGUUAGGUGAGGAACUGCUGCCCCUCCGAGCGGUCCGGGCACAUAUGCUGACAGGAGUCAUCUGUCUGGAAACCCCUCGCAAAUUUGGAAACAUUUUCCCAGGCGUUUAUGAAAUACGCUCGGUGACCUUGAGCACACAUUCCUGGAUCUGACAUAUUAGAGAAGAUGAAUAUUCAUUCGCCUAAAUGAUAUUUUCAUACGUGUUACUCAUUACUGUGCGGUCAAUAAACAUUUUGAUAUAGUGAUUUGCAGCAGAGCUAAGCACGCAAUUUGUACGACAGGCAUUGAGACAGACUGGAAUUCAAGAUUGAUUUCUAUAUUGAUGUUGGUAUAAUAUAUAGCAUUUAAUUUUUAGUAGUGGUUGAUGCGUAACAAACCCGUAUUUUUCCCUUUUGAACAUAUAACUUUGAUACAGAACACAGCAAUUGAUACUGAGGCUUGCAUAAACUUCAGGUAACACCUAUUGUUUCGUGAUCAGCCCCCUAGAAUGAGUGCCCCUAGUUUACAUAGUUGAUCUACAUCCCAACUAUAUGCCUUCUGGAAAAAUUUCCCAGUCCUUUCAGUGUAAUUACGGCAUCUUUAAUUAAAAUAAAUGGACUAACGCCACUACUCCAUCCCACCUUUCUGCUGCAGUUCACUGUUUCUACAAGCUGGCGUGUCUUAUGCUUCCACUAUUGCAAUGCAUCGUGUUAGCAGACCAGCUUUGAUUUCUGUGGGCUUUCAGCGAGGCAGGCUGUGAGUCUGAAUGGCUGAAGAUUAGCACAUGCUCUCCUGUGCCCCCGAGUUGGGCAGAACACAGGGGUGGACAAAUAGGGACUGUAGCGUCUUCAGGUAAUUGCAAUAGAUUUGCCAGAGGAUGUUUGCUCAGAUCAUCUCCAAGGAAUAAUUCCAUCAUGAUGAAAGAAAAAAAAAUGAUCUUGUUUUACCUCUCCCAUUCCUUUUUGCCUGUCAUAUCUCCCUGCCCCAUCUCUAUUUCACCACAUUUAUCUUGUAGCUUGAGGUCUCUUCUGGGAAUGCUUUGCCAAUAUAUGAAGUACACCAACAAAAUAGUGCUCAGAAUCACAUCUUUCAACUGCUAAACUUUGCUUUUGCCAGCAUACCGUGUUCCAGCCAUCUCCUUUUUCAUCCAAGAAAAAUAAGCUGUGCUGGGUAAUGGUCAGACAUCAGAACAGACUAUCCGUGAUAGGGGCCUUUGCCUACAGUUACAUCAGCCAUCAAGUGUUGCCUCCUUUCACCCUAAGCUGGCAGAGAGACGGCAAGGGAAGAGCAGCCUUUGCUUGUGGAAAGGGUGAAGUUCAGUUUAGAUACAGCAAACAGAGUUUUGCCAGCACAGAGACUUACUGAUUUCAUGCUGCCACUCUUCAAGUAUUUGGAGGUCCUACAUGCCAAAAGAACGCAUGUGAUCCUUUCGUAUAUUUACAAAUGUGCUUAGACUCGUGUUACUGAACUAUAUGGACGGAUAACAAACAGUGAUCAGCACAGCCGUGGUCUGCAAGCCAUGAACCUCUCAAAUGAGUUUUGCUUGGGAAGACUGCCAGAAUGUUCAGCAUUACCUGCACCUGGUCAGAUAAAAGUAUUACCUCUGGGGACAUGCAACUGUUUUCAGGUGCAUGUGGAAGCUUGAUUCUACAAGCCCGGCACACGCAGGUUCCAUCUUUAAUUUUUUCUCACGCUGGGGGGAUUGGAGCUCCAGGUGCUGCGAAUAUGUCGCUGUGUUUAGGUAUUGCCCCAAAUCACAGCCGGGUUACCCAAAGCGAUCGGAGAGGCUGAGUGCAUGAGUCAGCUGGAUUUCAGAAUCUGCCACGUGCUUCAGAAAUACGGUUUUGUUUGUCCUUAGCCUAAAUCUAAUUUUGAAAUACGUUUCAAUCUGAGGAUAAGGAGUAAGAGUUGAAAGGGAUGUGCCUGAUGUUUGGCUUGGCCGUUGCCUUCUACCUGCUGCCAGGAUCACAGAGCUGAUGGUAGUCAAGCCAUGGGAAAAGCACAGAGAAAGAUUAUGUGCGUCAGCAACACUUUCUUGUACUAUCAGGAGUACACUUAUCUGUUCCAACAAAAUAGAGUGAUUUAUAUUUUGAUGUCCUUGAACUUCCACAUAAACAGGUGAAGUCAGUUUAUUCCCUUGUACAUUUGUUUGCAUACUUGUGAUACAGUGUCAUUCUGGUUAUACAUUUCAUAACCUUACUGUACGAGGACAUGAACUCUCAGCAGCGUCUUCCUCCCUAACCUUUCUCAGCUCCUUUGAGCGCUAAUGGGCCGUGACAGUUCCUGCCCAGGCGCGGGGUCCGCGGUACUGAGGGGAGAGAGGGGGGUGGGGAGAAGCGUCUAUCCCUCUGAUAGCUUUAGGGACCUGCUUUUUGAUACAGCUUCUUGGCCAGCGUCAGCUGCAGGUGUGUGUUAUGCCUCUGUAGCAGGAGCAGCAAGAAGGGGUAUAAUCUUCUCGUUCCCCAAGCUGCCACAAACACAACACAAGUGAUGUUUGCUCGGACGUUUUAACACGGGAUGGGGAAAUACACGGGGAAAUCUGGCACACGCCCAGUUUCCACUUCAUUAUUUUCUGCAAACACGGAGUUGGGGAUUUUCCUAUCUAGCUCACAAUUUAUGCUCCCAGUGGGGAGUUCAGAACACCACACUCCGGACCCGCUGGAAGAGAGCGUUCUGGGGACAGCAGCAGGCGAAGCCCACGCAGCCUGCGCACGGAGGUGAUUCUCCAGGGGACAGGUACACUAAGACACGCUGCUGCGGGAACACACCUGGGGCGGCAGCGUAUCCCGGGGCAGGACGGGGCCUCGGGCGCGGCCCCGCUGCCCGGCAGCGCGCAUGCGGGGACAAGGAGUGAGGCGCGCUCCCGCGCCCGGUGCGCGAUCGCGCCUCUCCAAGCGUACUCCCCACGGUGGCGCGCCGGUGCUGCCCCCAUCCGGCGGUGGUUGGAGCCUAUGCUGCUGUUGCACGAGGGAGCUCGUCAACAAAUACGUAGCGCUCCUUGGAAACAAUGCCCUUUUAAAUUUUCAUUUUGAAGAGAUUUUGUUACGUCCUGCUCUGAGCUGCAGGGUUAGCCGAGAUCUUUCAGGGCCUUUCAGGGUCUUUCAGGGCCUUUCUGUUCAAAAAGAGGCUGAUGUUAGAAUUCCGUAUUCCUUUGAUUCAAUAUUUACAGAAAAUUCACCGAGGCCUUUUUGCCCAAGCACAACAGGACUCCAACAGAAGUAGGGUUUUGUUUUCCUUCUUUUUUUUUUUUCUUCAUCUUUUCAUUAUUAUUUUUUGCUCUGCUUUUUCAGGCUAUUUCUUCCCAAGUGGCUCCUGUGUGAAAGCCCAUUUGCUUUCCCCCUUCCCCAGCAGGUCCCUCCAGCAUCCAUCUGUUUGCCUCUUACUGCCUUUGGAGGCUGUUCCCCAGCCAAACAAUCCCCAGCAUUCAGCACUCCCCUCUACCCUACUGCUCCAUUGACUGUUUCUCUUUGUUUCAGAUCUGCUUUAGGUAGUAAUUCUUUUUCUUCCCCCCCCCCCCCCCCCCUUUUUUUUUUUUGAACUUCAGAAGGGAACCCAAUAUCCUCAGUUAUUUAUCUUGACUCUGGGAUAAUUCUAACAGCAGGGGUUAUGCAGUCCUGGGGCAGAUUGUCAAGGGAUUUUUAUAGAGGCCCCAUCACUGGAGCAUUUGAAGCUAGGCAAAUAUUUAUCAGGAGUGACACAAGUACAGUCGUCCUGACUCAGGGCAGCGUGAUACCUGCAUGAUCUCAUGUUUACUUCCAGUCUUGGUUUAUUUCUAUGAUAUAUACACCUUAUAAACAGCCCUGGGAUUGUUACUGAUGAAAGGGGAAAAACAACCUUCUCUCUUUUUUGUGUGUCUCCACUUGUUCUGCCUACCUAUUUGAUAGAGCAAAACAAGGAAUGUAAAACUAUUAACUAUCCUAAUUAUUAACUGUCCCAUUAUCUUAGUGUUUAGGAUAUGCCAUCAGUGCAAUUCUUACCCAUGCAAAACAUUCACUGACUUAAUCUGUGCACACACAAGCACCAGAAAUGUGGGCACUACGGAGGAAAGCCUUGGCACUUUUUUUAGUGUGCUCCUUCAGUGGAAGUUUUACAUGAAUAAUAUGAGGAAGGCUUGCCCUCAGAAUGGACUGAUUGCUUUCCGAGAGGGUUAUCAUCUAUCUGCAUUAUUUAGACAGCGUCUGGGAAACUUGCUGGAGCCUCAGGCUCCCAUUGUGUUAGACAUUGUGUAGAUGAGUAAUUAAUGGUGGGCCUCCUUCUGUUUUGCUUAAUGUAUAUAUUGUACAUAUACAAUGAGUUGAGGAAGGUUGCCGAUGUGAGGAGUCAAAUGGGAAAGGCAGUUCUGCAGCCCCGUACACAGUCUGGCUGGCAGAGAGGCUUCAGCCUGACAGUGGCCUCCCAGGUAGACACUGCAGGUACGUUUAGGGUUUAAAGAAGAACCCAAAAAUGCCAACUUCACACAUUUUGGUGUGUUUGGCCAUAUGGGGAAAGCAGGAAAGGCAGCACGUAUGCUGAAGGAAGAGGUAGAAUGUCUUUUUCAACGUAUUGUUCCGUAUUUUCAGCUGUGCAGUUUAGAUGUAGCUAUUCAUUUCAGAAUGAUAAUGCAUACAGACAAAAGAAAUAGGGAACUAAUGACACUUGUUAUUAUCCUGUUUCCUGCAUCCACACUAGAAACUGAAUAAACCUUCCCACAGUCAGGGGGCUUGGUGGUACGGCUGCCACACUCACAGGUAUGGACUGGAUGGUGGGGCAGAAGAAGCAGAGGGCGUAUUGCCAGGAUUGCUCUUAACAAGCACCACCAUAUUUAUGGAUCUAAAUAGUAGCAACUUGCCAGGAUAAUUACAAUCAAGUCAUUUCCACAAAAAGACAGAAAAAAAAAUAUAGGAAAAAAAGAUGCCAUGUAUGGUCUGCUGAGUGCUCACGGACACAGAACAAAAUGGUCACUUAAUGAUAAUAAAAUAUUCAUGUGAACAUUACAUUUUCAUUACUGAUGUGGGAGACCACAAAAUCAAAUAGAAGCGAAGAGUGAGCUUUCAGUUAAACUGCUGAUUUUGCAAAGGAAUGUUAGACAGCAUUAAUAACAUGAAGAGCAUGAAGUAAUCAUGGCAAAUGGACAUGUUUUUAAUUUCAUGCCUUGUAUUUAAUCAUACAAGAAGAGAAUAUUUCUAGGUAUUCCAUUCCCAUUUGCUUCUGUUUUUUUCUUGCCUUGUUCCCCACUUUGUUAUUUUCUCUCAGGAGUCUCACUGAUGCAUAGAGAUUUUUUUCCCCCCAGAGCUCACAGGGAAUAGGAAAUGUCCACUGGACCACACUUCAGUCCAUUCAGAUCAUCUCAUAAGGAGAAGAAGGCUGCAUAUUGGAAGUUCAAGACACAUCUGAGCUCAAAAAUUCACUUCCUUCUGAAGGGAACUGUAGCCAUUUUUGGCUAAGGAGUUGUUGACUUGUAAAACCUUUUGAGGCAAUGAAAGUAGAUUGUUAAAAGGUGAAUGACUUCAAACACAGAUGUUGCAGAAACUGCAGCUGCAAUGGAUGUGGAUCAGGUAGCAAAGGCUCAGUGCUAGCAAAUCAAAGGAAACUCUUCCUGCAGCUGGAGCAUUGCAAAGACCUGGCAGAACCCUCGGAAGUGCAGCCCCCUAUGUAUCUUUUUCUUACACCUCCUAGAGGGCUGAAAGAGCCUUUCAUUUCUGGUACAAAGCGUUCUGGGGUUGUUUGCUAACAAAAACUUCUUUUGUCCCAGCUGACUCGAAUCUGACGAAAGAUCCUUGGAUGACUCUGCCGCUCGGCCUUUCUUUUAUCUUUCCCAGCCAGUGUAUCUGCCCCACAGUCUCUGCAACACUUCCCUGGGAUGGUGUCCCCCUUUGUAACAAUAUGACCUUUUUUUACUUUGUUUAGAAAUACGUAAGAACAGUAAAUGUGCAAAACAUGUAACUGUAUCGCAGUGGUAUAAAUUACACAGAGGUACGGUAUUGAUUGUGCAAAGAUCAGAUAGUUUUAAAGUCACUGAAUGGCUGUCAGAUUGUUAAUUGAACAUUUGCUGAAAAAUGCCUAUGGGUAAGUGAUCUAGAUAUUGCUGCAGGAUAAUGGAAUUUAAAAACAACAUUUGUCUGCCACCAUUCUGCCUUGGAUGUAUUUAAAGAAAUACCAGGAAGCUGAAAGGCACGCUCCUCAAAACAUUCACACUCAAACGUCCUUACAUUAUUAAUCCUUUGGAGUGAUAAUAAUGAAAUAACCCAAUUUAAUAGUUUGAUGAUUUUACUUUUUAGCUUUCAGCUGGGUAAAAGGGUUUUCUUGAUUUUCACACUUCUGAAGUCUGUCUAUAGUUAAUUUUCAUUUGCUCUUUCCACGUGCAGGUUCAACUUUGUAACCAUUCUGCACAUAUAUCAAAUUAGCCUAUUACUUAAAACAAAUUUAUUGUCUCCAGUCUGACUUCAAUAAUUUAAAAAAUAUUACAAAGCAUUCACUGUGAAUUGUUUCUGUAAGACUCAGGAAUACACAACAGUUGGUUCAGGGGAAGUUCAGGCUGGAUAUUAGGAACAAUUUCUUCUCAGAAGUCAUGGUGCUGCAGUGGCACAGCUGUCCAGGGAGGUGGUGCAGUCACCAUCCCUGGAGGUGUUCAAGAACCAUGUGGAUAUGGCACUGAGGGACGUGGUCAGUGGGCAUGGUGGGGGUGGGCUGGUGGUUGGACUGGAUGAUCUGAGAGGUCUUUUCCAACCUUCAUGAUUCUAUGAUUCCCCUCUUUUUGAAAACAAGCCCACUGAACUGGCAAUAUUUUCUCUCCAGUUAAUUAGUUUCAGAAAAUUAAUAUCUGCUCCUCAUCACAAAUAAGCUCAGGAGAAUACACUUUUUUAGUGCUGUAUAGGCCAGGGUUAUUUGACACAAAUGCUGCAGCUGUUCUGUAUGUUUUCAGAAGUGAUGUUAGAGCUCUCUCUACUUUCUGUAAUGAACUCUGGAGAACUAAUGUCCCAAAUAUUUUCAAUGGCUAAGAUGAAUGUAUGCGUUUAUUUCCUUGCCUGUCUGGAUACAAUAUGACCACGUUAGAAUUUAUCAAAAACAAAACUAGAAACUUCAGGAAAUGUUCUAGACAUUAUGGGAACAAAUUUUAAUAAUUUCACUGAGAAUCCAAAAACUGGAAGACACCUGUACUUUAAAGUUGCUCAUUGCUCUUGGAGUGCUGUGCGUCAGCUGUUGGACAGAUGUUUAGCCAGCAAGGGAAGUCAGAGGGGAGCCAAAUGAAGACAUCUGAUUUUUUUCCUCUCCUCCCUCACAGACUGUCUGUUGUUGAUGGUAGAGAGAGGGAAGACACUAGCUGUUGGAUCAUUUUUCUUUUAGGAAGGGCAGAAUUACAGACUAUCUGGAAGGGAGAUUAAAAACGGAAGCCCAAAGUAUCCUUAGUAUGGUGGUGAAGAUAUUGAGGGGCAGGGAUGGUAUUCCUGCUAGUGCUCAUUGUCACUUUAAUCAUUUAUACUCUGCCCUUUUUUAUGCAUUUUCGUCUAUAUGGAUCUUCAUAUUCCAUACAAAUAUCAGUAGCUAUUAGCUAAGGUGAUUUUUAACUCCUGCUUUCUCCCAGCACUGGUAUCUACUUGCUCCCACCUGACCUUUCUGUCCAUUUGGCUCACAUCUCACAUAUAUUUGCUGCAGGCUCCUCUGUUCCAUGAGCUGAUGUACUAGAUGCAGCUGAUUGAAAAAAAAAAACCACCUUAUUUUACUGAUCAGAUAGAGAUAGGAUCACUUGUCAACUCACAGAGGAAAGGCUGCAGAACCUUAGUGCAGUUACUGACCAGAUACCUUGCACUCAUAGGUAUAUGGGGUAUAUGACCCCAUUGCAGGGCAGCAUGAGGAUCAUUGCCUCAUAUCAUGCCCUGAUGCCUCAGUCUGAUUCUCUAUCAUGUUAGCUGACAUUACUACUCUCUUAUCCACUGACACUGAGGAAUACGAAGAGGUUACUUGGUAAGACCCCUUACAAAUGGUUCAAGCUGGCAGCAAUGAAGUUAUUGAGAGAAGCCUGAGGGCUAUCAUAAGGGGCUUCAGGGGACUGGGGUUGUUAGUGGAUGGAGUGGGAGGGAGUACAGGUGGUAUUUUCCUCUGUCCUUUCAGUGGCAGGGAGGGAUACUGAGAGGACAAGGAAAACCCAUCUGAUAAAGACAUGGCUGAGAGGCUGGUGCCACCAGUCCCAGGGGGAAAAGAAUUCUGGCCCAGGAGCUGUCUGGGCUCAUUGACAGGGCUUUAAACUAGGUUUGAAGGGAGAAGGAGGUGAUAUAGAGCCUGUCCGUGACAGGACGGGAUAGUAUAGCUAAGUUAGAGGAACAAGGUGUUAAUGGGGGCCUGCAACCUGCUACAUCUUGUGAUGAUGAAGGCAACAGGGAAUAUAAUGAUAACUCAAAGGAAUUAAGGAAUUAUUCUCCCAGGAGGUGACAAGACCAGCUGCCCAGCUAAGUGCCUUUACAUCAGUGCAUGCAGCUUGAGAAACAAACAGGAGGAGUGGGAAACAACCAUGAUACUUGAAAAAGUAUGAUUUAGCUGCCAUCACUGAAACCUGGUGGGAUGAUUCCUGUGACUGAAAUGUGGUUAUUGAUGGCUACAGGCUGUUCAGAAGGGACAGGUGAGGAAGGAGAAGUGUUGCCUUGAACAUCAAGGAAGGAAUAAUGUGUGAAGAGCUGUCCCUAAGAAACAAGUCAAAAGCCUGUGGGUGAGAGAUAGAGACCAAGGCAACAAAGGGAGCUUUGUGGUUGAUGUCUACUAUAGGCCACGUGAUCACGAGGAAACUGUUGAUAAAGCUUUCUUCCUCCAGCUACAUGAGACAUUGUGAUCACCGGCUCUCGUCCUGCUGAGGCACUUCAACCACACUGAUAUCUGCUGGAAAAGUAGCACAGUGAGCUGGUGAUCCAGGAGACUCCUGGAAUAUAUCAAGGAUAAUUUCCUGAGCCAGGUAAUAGACAGCCCCAUCAGGGGGGAAUGCAGUGCUGGACCUGUUGCUUAGCAACAUUAAUCAACUGACUGGUGAUAUCAGGAUUGGAGGCUGCCUGGGAUGUAGUGACCGUGCAAUGGUGAAGUUCAAACUCUUGAGUGAUAUCAGGCAGGCGAAGAGUAAAACCAGGAAGCUUAAUUGUAGGAAAAUCCAAAAGCCAGCUAUUCAGGGAGUCUGUUAAUAAACCCCCCUGGGAAUCUGUCCUGAAGCACAAGGGAGUGGAGCAGAGCUGGCAGAUUUUUAAGGAAGAUCUUUCCUUAGGGCACAAGAGCUCUCCAUCUCCAGAUGUAGGAAGUCAGGAAAGAAAGGUAGUAGACUAUUAUGGCUGAACCAGGACCUGCUGGUCAAGCUGGAGAGCAAGAAGAAAAUGCAUAGGCAGUGGAAGCAGAAACAGGUAACCUGGGAGAAGUAUAGGGAUGCUGCUAGGCUCUGUAGGGGUUGGGGUCAGGAAGGCCAAGGUCCAACUAGAACUGAACUUGGCAAGGGGAGUAAAGAAGGAUAAGAAAGGCUUCUAUAAGUACAUCAGCUAGAAAAGGAAAGUCCAGGAGGACAUACUCUCCCUAGUGAGUGGCACAGGCAGACUAAUAAUAAGAGACAAGAAGUCUGAGAUAUUCUACAACUUUUUGCCUUAGUCUUCACUAGUAACUGCUCUACACACAGGCUUUGACUGGAUGGUUCAGAAUGUGGAAACUGGAAGAGAGAUGCCACUCCUGCUAUAAGUGAAGAUCAGAUUCAUGACCUCCUGAGGAACAUGAACACCCAUAAGUCUAUGAGCCCUGAGGAGAUGCAUCCCGGAGUCCUGAAGGAAUUGGCAGACAUAGUUGCCAAGCCACUCUUGAUGAUCUUUGAAAAGUCAUGGUGGUCAGAUGAAGUCUCUGGUGACGAUGACAAAAGGCAAUAUCACACCCAUAUUUAAGAAGGGUAGAAAGGAUGACCUGGGGAACUAUGAACCUAUUAGCUUCACAUCUGUGCUGAGGAAGAUAAUGGAACAGAUCCUUCUGGUAGCUACGCUAAGGCAUCUGGAAGAGCAGGAGGUGAUAUGGGGCAACCAGCAUGGCUUCACCAAGGGGAGGUUCUGCCUGACCAACUUCAUUGCUUUUUAUGACGGUGUAAGUGUGUCUGUGGACAAGGGAAGAGCCACUGAUGUCAUUUAUUUGGACUUCAGUAAGACCUUUGCCACAGCUUCCCGUAACAUCCUUUUCUCCAAAUUGGAAAGACAUGGAUUUGAUGGGUGAACUCUUUGAUGGACAAGAAUCUGGUUUUGAGAUUAAGAGAUGAGGCUCCUAGGACCAGCUACAUGCACUCUGUCUGGGGCAGCUUCACAAGCUAUUGUGAAACUGCUUUUCUAUGUGUUUUCUCAUUUCCAAACCAAGAAACAAGGUGAGGCCUACAGCAAUUCUUUAAUCUCUUUCCACUUUAAAGCAUUCAAGCAUUUCUCUGAUGUUCCUGGAAAGGGGCACAGAUGACUGUGUCCCCUCCUAAUGAUGAUGACUCCCCUGAAGAGGACCAGGGGACCAUUCCACCUCCUGUGCUUGAUGGUUCUCUCAUGAAACAUCUCCAGAAUUUCACCACUGUCUAGAGCUUCUUGAUUCCCUCUGAGACUUGCUUUAUCCUUACAAAAAUAAAAAAUAGACAAGUAAGCCAACAAGAAAGCAAACAGCCAAAAACAAAAGCACAACAUCACAAAAGCUAGCAAAGCUGUGCAAUCUUAUUUACAAAUAAUGUAGUUAAAGUCUUAUUUCUCCAGACACAGCAUAUGAAUACUCCCUCCUUUUGCACUGGAACAGUUUGCCCGGAGAGGUUGUGGAUGCCCCAUCCCUGAAGGCAUUCAAGGCCAGGCUGGAUGUGGCUCUGGGCAGCCUGGUCUAGUGGUUGGUGACCCUGCCUGUGGCAGGGGGUUUGAAACUAGAUGAUCUUUGAGGUUCUUUUCAAUGCAGGCCAUUCUAUGAGUCUAUGAUUCUAUGAUUCUGUUUCACUUCUGCAGACGUACAUAACCCCUGCUAACUGUUUCUUCAUCCACUGUGUUCACAUCACAAUAUAUCCCAAAUAAAUUGCUCCAUCUAUAUAUUACAAAGUGGAGUAAAAUGUGUUUGCUGAGUGGUAGCUUCCAUUGUUUAUGCCUCUCUCUAUGGAGACCUUAAUUUAGUUUCAUCAUCAUCCCAUGAGAAGGCCAUCUCUGACUCCAUCCAGAGUAAUUCUAUGGAUCAUAUCAGCCGACUUAAUGUCAUUUUUUACCAAAAAAAACUGACAAUCAACCAUUGUCCUCCCGUUUUCUUGGAGCUGUUACACUCCUCAGGCCUGCAAGUGUCAUCUGCAUUUCCUUCUACCAAAAUAUAUAGACUUUAAUUAGCAGUAUUAACAGCCAUAUUGUUUCUGCUUAGCCAGAAAUCACCUGGGUCACUUCCUGCUUGUAAUCUAUCCUCAUCAUUUCUCUGUUCCUUUUUGUUGUUCGCAUAGUUUAAAAUAUUACUAGAGUUAGUUUGUAUUUUGUAUUUUGUUUGUUUAUUAAUAUAUAUUUUUUUUCUCCAUGCCAUAGGUAAAAGCAUUGAAUAUGAUCUUGGACAAGAAAGGUUCUCUGUAGCACUGCACUGGUGAAAAUUGGUAGGAUUUAGUUAACGAUUACAUAUUAAAUUUCCAAGUUAUACAGUUUGAUCUCAUUUAAUAAAUAUUUUCUUGAUUUUCUUCUGAUGUUAAUAACUUAAUCAGAAUGUAAUAUGGUAUCAGUGUUGCACAGGUGUGUGAAAGCAAUUAUUUUGUCUUAUAUAUUUAUAUAUACUUACCUUUAUUAAAUAGACCAAAUUAUGGAACUUCUGAUCUCAUAAAAAUACUAUGCAAUUUGUUUAACUUAACCUGUUUUGCAUAAAAUCACGUCGACUGACAGUAAUUAUGUUACCAUUUCUUAUUUCCUUAUGGACAGAGUCCCGAAUCAGCUGUUCCAUUCUUCUGCACAGAACCAAGGUCAAGUUAGCUCAUCUACAAUUACCCUGUUUACACUUAUGAAAUAGCAGUGCAGCAUUGGAUAUUUCCUGGCUCCUUUGAUUUCCACAGUAUGCCAAGGCUUUUUGCCAGAAAGCACCAGUACAAGAUUCCUUUUAAAAGCUUUAAAUAAGUUACCCACUCCUGCCAGUUAUAGAAGUUAAUAGAUGCUCUUUACCAUUCACUUAAAAAAAUAUCAAAAUAGAUGGUAUUUCAGCAAUACAGACUCUGUUUUCAUUUCUAAAUGCAAAAUGUAAAUAUUCACGGAAUGCUUCUUUUUUUUCCCCCAGAUAGCAAUGGAGCUGUGUCAUCACUGGGAUUACUUUUGCCCUGAACAGUCCUUCGCAAAUGAAAAAUAAAGCAAAGAAAUGUUCUUAUUUUUUAUCUCU